UACGUAGGAUGCAAGCGUUGUCCGGAUUUAUUGGGUUUAAAGGGUGCGUAGGCGGCCCUGUAAGUCAGUGGUGAAAGCCGGUUGCUCAACGACCGGACUGCCUUUGAUACUGCGGGGCUUGAAUCGGUUCGAGGUUGGCGGAAUUGGUGGUGUAGCGGUGAAAUGCAUAGAUACCAUCAGGAACUCCGAUUGCGAAGGCAGCCAACUAGGCCCGUAUUGACGCUGAGGCACGAAAGCGUGGGGAUCAAACAGG
rnacentral:rRNA from 1 species